rnacentral:rRNA from 1 species
CACGGGGGGAGCAAACGUUGUUCGGAAUCACUGGGCGUAAAGGGCGCGUAGGCGGCCUCGUAAGUGGUGUGUGAAAUCUCCUGGCUCAACCAGGGAAUUGCGCUCCAAACUGCGAGGCUUGAGGGCAGUAGAGGAAGCUGGAAUUCCAGGUGUAGCGGUGAAAUGCGUAGAUAUCUGGAGGAACACCGUUGGCGAAGGCGAGCUUCUGGGCUGUCUCUGACGCUCAAGCGCGAAAGCUAGGGGAGCGAACAGG